GCUUUGCUGUGAGCUGGGUGCAGAUGGUCACAGGCUUGUGUUGUGAGCCUAGGACACGUGCUGUGUGUUUCUGCAGCUGACAGAGAGUUACUCACAGCGAGAGGCUGUGAUGCAGCCCAUGAUGCAUUUCUCGCAUCUGCAGAGCCCCUGCUUUUAUUUCAGGACACAUAGAGACCUUAGCAGGGGCCGUGCUCUCUGUCUCUUGGGGGGAGGAAACUUCUCCCUGUUCCCUCUUUUCCCCACCUCUUCUUACUGAGUGUGACCUCAUUCUGUAUGCAGCGUCCGUUUUAUCUCUUUUUGUCAGCUAUCUUGUCUCUGUCCCCUCCCAAGCUCCUGUUCAUCUCCAGCCUGCCAAAGAGCCAUAAAAUAGAGGUGCUUGGGUUGGAAGGGACAUUAAAGAGCAAGGAGUCACUUAUAGAAUUGUAAAAACCAGCAAAACAAACAAACAAACAAACAAACAGUAUAAGCACAGAAUUAAAGAAGCCGACACCAUACUGCCAUUAGUUAGGAGCUCAUUGCUUGUGUUCCAGUUGAGAAGGGCCACAGAUCAUUUUGUCCAGCCGCGAAUGAGUGACGGUCACGUUCUCUCCAUCCCCAUUCAAGUGGGAUUUUUCAUCAUGAGUCAUGGGUUGCAAGCACUGUGGAGAAAUUUUCCCUUGAUGAAUGGAUUCAGCAUGUACGAAGGAAUGAGCAGGGUUGCUACCAGGAGCUCAUGGCGAGAAGAUCCCUGUGGAUAUGGGUUGCCCAGCACUCACACUGGAUUCUUCCACAGCCGGUGCCUUCCAAAUGCAGCCUGGAUUGGGAUCUGGGGAAAAAGAGAAAGCAAAGAUCCGGUAAAGCCCCUUCACUACUCAUGAAAACCAGUCUUAGUUGAUCUGCCACCAACACGACAUGUACUUCCCAUUCUCAAAGCACCAUUGAAUUUUUGUACGUGGGAAGGUUCCAACGCCCACAGAUUAGCCAUGGGCAUGGUGUUACUGAAACAAGCAGGACUGUGCGGUGAAGUAUCGAAGAGGGAGAGACUGCUGCGUAAGCAUCCACAAUGCCAUCAUCUAAUCUGAAGAAGCUCAAAAGAAGAUGGAGGAGGUCAGCGAACGGACUGCUGAACUGUUUCAUGUUCUGCUGCCAAAGGACUGUUCGGAGGCAUGGAAUCCAAAUUCCUGGUUGGUAUCCAUGCUGAGAUUGUGGAGACUCAUGGGAUGGGAGAAAUGGUUGGCACAGAAGGCAAUAGCAGUGUUGGUUGGGUUUACGGUUUUUAUGAAAAGCAUUUUCAUAGUCCUGUGUGUGAUUGAUUACAUGCUCGCUCUCUUCACUUCCUUUCUUUCCUCUUCCUCUGUUCAUUAAGUAUAGAUCACCACACUAGAAGAAGGCGAACUGUACAGGAACGAGAUUCAAUUGAUUGUUUGAGCCAUGGGUAGUGUAAGAGACUGAGAAGCAAGAGGGUUAAUGUCCCACAUGCUUCCUAGAAGAGUGAAAUGAGGUCACCACAGUAAGGAGAUAAGGAGUAGAUCGAGGAGGCGCCUACUGAAAUGAGGUAGCAUCACUGCAGAGGAUAUCAUCUUGCGAGACUAUGAAGACCUGU